rnacentral:rRNA from 1 species
GAUGAACGCUGGCGGCGUGCCUAAUACAUGCAAGUCGAGCGAACAGACGAGGAGCUUGCUCCUUUGACGUUAGCGGCGGACGGGUGAGUAACACGUGGAUAACCUACCUAUAAGACUGGGAUAACUUCGGGAAACCGGAGCUAAUACCGGAUAACAUGUUGAACCGCAUGGUUCAACAGUGAAAGACGGUCUUGCUGUCACUUAUAGAUGGAUCCGCGCCGCAUUAGCUAGUUGGUAAGGUAACGGCUUACCAAGGCAACGAUGCGUAGCCGACCUGAGAGGGUGAUCGGCCACACUGGAACUGAGACACGGUCCAGACUCCGACGGGAGGCAGCAGUAGGGAAUCUUCCGCAAUGGGCGAAAGCCUGACGGAGCAACGCCGCGUGAGUGAAGAAGGUCUUCGGAUCGUAAAACUCUGUUAUUAGGGAAGAACAAAUGUGUAAGUAACUAUGCACGUCUUGACGGUACCUAAUCAGAAAGCCACGGCUAACUACGU